GUGUUAAUGUGUUUGUAUGUAAUGUUUAAUGUUAAUGUGCCUGUAGAGUAAAGCUAACAUGACAUCUGAGUUUGUCCUCCUGACAGUCAGUUUAUAAAGAGAUUCAGUUUCAUCACAUGAUCUCUACAGGACAUCACACAGACGCUUCUCUCUGAACCUCAAACUUUAUUUUCAUACAACUCUUUAAUAUCUCUGAAUGUCUUUGUUUCUGUUUUGGUUUUGUCAGCCUCAGAUGUGAAGUUCUCAGAUGAAACUGAUGAUGGUGGAAUCUGUUUGAAGGUUUUAUUGAAGGGCGAUCCACACCCCAACCCUCAGAUGAUCUUGAAUGACCACUGACUGUGUCAAGUAUUUAGAGAUCAGAGGUCGUCUUUGUUCGUCAGAAUCUGUAGGACAAAUGUAGGUGACAUACUUCCCCAUGAGCACGUGAGCUUUUACUGGGAAAACUUCCUUAAUUUCAUAAAGCGAACUGAACAGCUGAAGAAAUCUCAUACAGUAGAUGUGUGCUCAGAGGUCUAAUCAGAGAAAAGUUCAGAGCAAGAGUUAUGAAGUUAUAAAGGUUAUGAAGUUUAAAAUGAAGUUAUGAGGGGAGUGCAUCAACGUUACACCAUAAAGAGAGAGAGAAGAAGAGG